UACGUAGGGGGCAAGCGUUGUCCGGAAUCAUUGGGCGUAAAGCGCGUGUAGGCGGCCCAGUAAGUCCGCUCUGAAAGCCCGGGGCUUAACCCCGGGAGGCGGGUGGAUACUGCUGGGCUCGAGUCCGGAAGAGGCGAGUGGAAUUCCCGGUGUAGUGGUGAAAUGCGUAGAGAUCGGGAGGAAUACCUGUGGCGAAGGCGGCCUACUGGGCCGGACCUGACGCUGAGACGCGAAGGCGUGGGGAGCGAACGGG
rnacentral:rRNA from 1 species